rnacentral:rRNA from 1 species
AUGGCGAAAUGCUGGCUGCUGCUCCAAUUCUUGGCGUUCCUCUUGCCGGCGACGAGUGCUACGUCGUGCCACACUGACGACCUUCAUGCGCUGCAGGGCUUCGCCGGGAAUCUCAGUGGUGGCGGCGUGCUCCUACGCGCUGUUUGGACCGGUGUCUCGUGCUGCGGCUGGGAAGGUGUGAGCUGCGACGGCACAAGUGGACGCGUCACGGGGCUUCGGCUACCCGGGCGCGGCCUUGCGGGGCCCAUCCCUAGAGCAUCCUUGGCGGGCCUCGCGCAGCUGGAGGAGCUCAACCUUGCCAACAACAAACUGAUCGGCACCAUCCCAUCGUGGAUUGGUGAGCUUGAUCACCUAUGCUACUUGGAUCUUUCCGACAAUUUAUUGGUUGGCGAGGUAUCCAAGAGUUUGAUACAGCUCAAGGGCUUCGCCACUACUGGUCGUUCAUUGGGUAUGGCUUUCACUAACAUGCCAUUGUAUGUGAAGCGUAGCAGACGAACACUCCAACAACAACAACCCAAUAUCAUAUCUGGGACCAACAACAAAGUCCGAUCUGGUAGAACCAAUGUUGUAUCCGGGAACGACAACACAGUUGUAUCUGGGAAUGACAACACUGUUGCUGGGAGCAACAAUACCAUCACAACUGGGAGCGGCAAUACCGUAACUGGUAGUAACCAUGUUGUUUCUGGGACCAAACAUAUUGUAACUGACAACAACAAUGUUGUUUCCGGGAUAGACAAUAAUGUAUCCGGGAGCUUCCACACCGUAUCCGGGACUCUCAAUACCGUAUCCGGGAGCAACAAUACCGUAUCUGGGAGCAACCAUGUUGUGUCUGGGAGCAACAAAGUUGUGACAGGAGGUUAA